rnacentral:rRNA from 1 species
UAGGGAAUCUUCGGCAAUGGACGAAAGUCUGACCGAGCAACGCCGCGUGAGUGAAGAAGGUUUUCGGAUCGUAAAACUCUGUUGUUAGAGAAGAACAAGGACGUUAGUAACUGAACGUCCCCUGACGGUAUCUAACCAGAAAGCCACAGCUAACUACGUGCCAGCAGCCGCGGUAAUACGUAGGUGGCAAGCGUUGUCCGGAUUUAUUGGGCGUAAAGCGAGCGCAGGCGGUUUCUUAAGUCUGAUGUGAAAGCCCCCGGCUCAACCGGGGAGGGUCAUUGGAAACUGGGAGACUUGAGUGCGGAAGAGGAGAGUGGAAUUCCAUGUGUAGCGGUGAAAUGCGUAGAUAUAUGGAGGAACACCAGUGGCGAAGGCGGCUCUCUGGUCUGUAACUGACGCUGAGGCUCGAAAGCGUGGGGAGCAAACAGG